UAAGUACCCGGAGGAAAGGACAUCAAUUGAGACUCCCUUAGUAGCGGCGAGCGAACGGGGACCAGGCCUGGUCUGAAAUAAUGCGAAGCGUCUGGAAAGGCGCGCCAUAGUGGGUGAUAGCCCCGUAGCAGUAAAAUGACGACCUUUUAGAGUAGGGCGGAACACGUGAAAUUCUGUCUGAACAUGGGGGGACCACCCUCCAAGCCUAAGUACUCCUUACCGACCAAUAGUGAACAAGUACCGUGAGGGAAAGAUGAAAAGUACCCCGACGAGGGGAGUGAAACAGACCCUG
rnacentral:rRNA from 1 species